UCCAUCGCAGAACCUCUCUCACUCCACCAGAGAUUUUGGAGAUUCAACAGUCCGUCGGUGCUCUGCUCGCAGCGCCUCCUCACACAGCCGCCGCCCAGGGGGAACACCGUCGCUGGUCGAAGGGGAGGGGUGAGCCCAGCCGUCCGGAUCAUCGCCGCGCUGAUCAUCGCUGCUCCUCUUGGAGAGACCAGUCGGUCUCUCAGCUCUGCACCCUCCAAAUGCGAAGGAAGAAAACUUUGUAUCUAAAAACUUGCCAGUUUCCAGCAGGGGUCGCCACAGGACCGCGAAAGCCACCACUUCAUCACACACACUCCAAACCUCUCGUAGGCAAGCAAGACAUCGUCAUCGAGAGAGUCAUCUCUUUCUGAGGAUGAUUGGGCCGGUCCCUCGGGUGUCCAUCUUAGGAGAAUUGCAGUGUCAGAUCAAGUUCAGGGGUAACCUUUGCUGUUGACCAGGCCUGCCAGAACUUCAUCGGACUCCUUUUCAAACGGACUCCAGUCUCGCUAUGGAUGCCUCUUCCUCUGCACGCCAUAGAUGUCGUCACCCAUCUGUGUGACAUUCAUUUAACGCAGAGUGAUACAAGUAAAAAGAUUUAAUUAUUCGAGCAAUAAUGCGACCAACUUUUGAAGACGGUGGCGUACACGCGGAUCCGACUGCAGUGCUCCCUUCAAUAGAUACCAGUCUAGCCACGGAUGCUUUAUAGGAAUUAUUACCCCUCUGGGUAAUAAUUAACGCAGAGUGAUACAGGUGAAAAUAGCCAAAUGCGGGAGCAGUACGGUGCGACAUGUUAGUUUUGUAGUGUGCAUUUUGUGUUUAGCAUUUUUAAAAAUGCUAAUUAAAAAAAAAAAAUUAAAAAAUCUAUUCAAAACCAGGCAACAAGUG